GUGAGCGCUUGGAGAACCUGCUCACGGGUGUGUGUGGCCCAGCUCCCUGGGAUACACCCGUUCCCAGGACGGGAAGGUCAUGACCAGCCUCUUCCUGACCUGGGCAAGGGGUUCCUCGUGUGGAACAACCCAAGAGUUGGGGAGGGGAGCCUCAUCCUCUCGCCGUCAACAAGUGAGAUUUCACGUACCAACCAACAUGCCUUUUUCUUUGUAAAAGUUCAUCCCUGGACCUAGGGAGGCCGUACUCUGAAUCCCAGCUGACCUAGAGCUGACUCCUGGGCUCCGGCCUUGGAGGUCACCUGGCUCAUAGGCCCCCUGUGUGUGUGUUGGGGCAGGGGGAGCCCAUGCAGCCAGGAUGAGACUCACAUCUUCCUGCCCAGCGCUGAGCCCCGGUCUUAAAAUACCAGCUGUGUGCACCUGACCUGACCUCCUAAUCUGGGGGGCAUAGAACUCAUGACGAUCACAAACCAGUCACGGUUAAGUACAAAAUCUGGGAGCAGAGCUGGCAUCCUGCCCAAGAUCAGUGGGGGCCUAGUGGGGGGCUUGGAGGAAAAGGAGAGGCCGCAGUGAGCCGCCUGCAGACGGCCUGGUAGCAGCCGUGCCUGGUGGGUGAGAGGGGCGUAAGGGGGAGCCAUGGGGGCCUUCUGACCACAGAGAGGACUUCCUGGGAAGCUGGCAAGCCUGGCAUCUAGAAGGGAUAGACCGGGACAGUGGAGAAAAGGACCCAGGGACCAGGACCGUUUGGCUGGAGGCACAUUUGUGGUACAAGCAGCGUGGAAAGUAGAGAAGCAGGGGAUGGGGAUUUGGGGGAAGAGGGCACCCGCGAUUGGGUGGGGGUACUACUGGGACAGGGUAGGGGAGAAAGAAUGGGAGGUGCCCAGAAAGGGUGGGGGCCGUGUCCUGGUUGCACUGUGUGCCCUGCCCUGGGGAGGUGUUUGCCCUCCCCCCUACCCACUGCUGCCCCAUGGGGUCUCCCGGUGACCCCCACCUGCCCAUGGGGAGAACUUGGUGAUGUCAAGUGGGGCAUUGUCAUGACAACACGGGAGCUUUGCCUUCCCAGGAGAGGCCCAGAGCCAGGUCACUGACCACAUCCCCAAACUCAGCAGGAGACCCCACCGCCCCUUCCAUCUCUGCUGGUGCUUGGCCACUGGGGUGGGGGCAGCAGGUCAGCAGGUGGAGCUGGCCUCAUGGCCCCAGUCAGAGCCUUGACUGCGUGAGCCAAGACACCCAGCCUGGGGCCUCCCCAGUGGACACCUGCACCCCUUGGCCAGGACAGCUGCCACCUUGGCAUGCGCUUCACCCUUUCAACGAUCCCUAGCAUCCUUGCGGCCCUGUAUCUGGGGAUCUCAGUGAGAAAAUGGGAACACUCCAGAUGUUUCUUCCUUAGUCAUCUGCCCCCUCUCUGCCCAGCUUUCCUGAGUGAUCCUGCACACAACCCCAUCUCAUCCCUGGUGCCCCGCCCUCCCCAAGGACCAGGUCUCAGGCUGGGGGCUGUGGCGUCCUCCAGGGCUGCUCUCGCUACUUGUGAUCUUGUUCCUGAGGAGUCUGAGGACUGGUCUUGGAAGGAAGGAAGGUGUGUUCUUUCCCGAGGCAGGCACAGGCUAGUGUAGGGAAGGCAUUUAAGGGUCAUGAGCGACACUGGCCUCUGAUCUGGCUUAUGGAGUAAGUAAACCUUCCUUAAGAAGCAGAAGUUCUGCAACGAACUCAAAAGAGUAAGAGCACGGGGAAUGAGGACCGUGGAAGCUGAACUGUGGAUGCAAGGUGCUUGGCGGCGCUCUGACACCCGAAGAGUGAUCUUCACUUCGUUUUUGUGGGUUUUUUGGUAAAAGCUUCAUUGAUGGUGCAGUUCAGUCAUUUUUAUUAUGUUCUCAGAGUUGUGCAACCGUCACCACAAUCAAUUUUAGAACAGUCCCAUCAUCCCUAAGGAAACCCUGUACCCUCUCGCUAGUGCCCUCAUCUCCCCUCCCCACAGUCCCUGGCAGCCACUAGUCUGCUUUCUGUCUCUAUGGAUUUUCCCAUUCUGGACAUUCAUACACAUGGAGUCACACAAUGAAUGACCUUUAGUGUCUGGCCUCUUUUACUUAGUGUGAUGUUUUUGAGGUUUACCCAUGUUGGAGUGUGUAUCAGUACUUCAUUCCUUUUUAUGGUUGAAUAAUGUUCCAUUGUGUAGAUGGACCACAUUUUAUCUGUUCAUCACCUGAUGGACAUUUGCGUUUUUUCCACUUAUUCACUUUUAUGAAUAAUGCUCCUUUCUGUACACAUUUUUGUGUAGACAAGUUUUCAUUUCUCUUGGGUAUAAACCCAGAGUGAGUUCCACUCUGGGUCAUGCAGUGACUCUUAACGUUUGGCCAUUGGAGGAAGUGCUGCAUGUUUUCCUCAAUGGCUGCACCAUCUUUCAUCCCCAGAAGCAGGUGUGAGGGCUCCACUUUGUCCACAGCCUGCCCAGCACUAGCUAUUUCAUAUCUUUUUCAUUAUAGCCAUCCCAGUAGGAGUUAUCUCAUUGUGGUUUUGAUUUGCAUUCUCCUAAUGACUAAUGAUGUUGAGCAUCUUUUCUUAUGCUUAGUGGCCAUUUGUACAUCUUCUUGGGAGAAAUGUCUGUUUAGAUCUUUUACUCAUUUUAAUUGGGUUGUCUUUUUAUUAUUGAGUUGUACGACUUCUUUAUAUAUCCUUGAUAUUAGACUCUGAUCACAUAUAAGAUUUGCAAAAAUUUUCUCCCAUUCUGUGGGUUGGUCCUUUCACAUUUUUACUAAUUUCCUUUGAAACACAAGUGUUCUUUAAUUUUGAUGAAGUCCAGUUUAUUUUUUCUUUUGUUGCUUGUGCUUUUGGUGUCAUAUCUAAGAUACCAUUACCUAAUCCAAGGUCAUGAAGAUUUAUUUCUAUGGGGCUUUUUUAAGAGUUUUAUAGUUUAGCGCUUACAUUUAGGUCUUUCAUCCAUUUCGAGUUAAUUUUUCUAUAUGAUGUUAGGUUGGUGGUCCAAUUCAUUGUUUUGCACGUGGAUUUCUUUUUUUAAGAGUUGGUUUCUUUUUUUUUUUUUUAGAGUUGGUUUCUUUUUUUUUAAUAAAUUUAUUUUGCAUUUAUUUAUUUUUGGCUGCGUUGAGUCUUCGUUUCUGUGCGUGGGCUUUCUCUAGUUGCUGCGAGCGGGGGCUAGUCUUCAUUGCAGCACCCGUGCUUCUCAUCACGGUGGCUUCUCUCGUUGCAGAGCACGGGCUCUAGGUGCACAGGCUUCAGUAGUUGUGGCACACGGGCUCAGUAGUUGUGGCUCACAGGCUCUAGAGCACAGGCUCAGUAGUUGUGGCUCAUGGGCUUAGUUGCUCUGCGGCUAGAGUUGGUUUUUUAUUCAGGAAUAACUGUGGUCAACUUUCAUUAAUGUGGAAGCUUACUGAUUAAUUCUUUUCCAAUCAUUCUAGUACCAUUUGAAAAGACAGUUAUUUCCCCCAUUGAAUCCUUGGCACCUUUGUCAAAUAUCAGUUGACCAAAUGUGAGAGUUUAUUUGCAGACUCUCAAUCCUAUCCCAUUUAUAUGUUUAUCCUUAUAUCCUUAUUGUAGCUUUGUAGUAAGUUUUGAAAUCAGGAAGUGUGAAUCCUCUAACUUUGUUCUUUUUCACGGUUGUGUUUGCUAUUCUGGGUCUCCUGAAUUUCCAUAUGAAUUUUAGGAUCAGCUUGUUAAUUUCUGGAACGAAGCCAGGUGAGAUUUUGAUGGGGAUUUUGUUGGAUCCAUAGAUGAAUUUGGGGAGUGCUGCCAUCAUAGCAAUAUUAAGUCUUAUGAUCCAUGAACACAAGUGUCUUUUCAUUUAUUCAUUCCUUUCAACAAUGUUUUAUAGUUUUCAGAGUGUAAGUUUUAUACUUCUUUUGUUAACUUUAUUGUUAAGUAUUUUCUUCUUUUUGAUGCUAUUGUAAAUGGAGUUUUUUUCUUAAUUUCAAUUUCAGAUGAUUCACUGCGUGUAUAAAAAUAAAAUUGAUUUUUGUAUGUU
ensembl:lncRNA